rnacentral:lncRNA from 1 species
GUGAAGGUUAGGCUAAGAAGUGUGAUGAGCUUUAUUUAGGUAAUAGGCAAUGAGGAGAAAUUGAAACAUGAAGGAACAUAAUUUGAGGUGUGAUUAUUUGAGUUUUUAAAAUAUUAUCACUGUGCAUCAGAAUGGGUUAGGGAAGGCUUAAAUCCUGGAUGCUGGCUCAGCACCUAUUAGAGCAAUUAAAAUGAGAAAUGAUGCAGACUAAACUAGAAUUUCAGGUAAAAAUGGGAAAAAUAGGCGUUAAAAAAUGGUAUAAACGUUAAAAAACUACACUUGACUGAGUUAGAAUAUGGAGGAAAAGGAAGUAUGGAGAUCAAAAGAAAACAUCAGGAUUUGGGAGCUUGGACACAGGGGAAUGACAACGUAAAGGGAUUAUUUCAAAGAUAAUUUGGCAUAGACACUUCUAGACUCUCCUCUUCAUCUGUGUGUGGGUACUGAAUAUGCAAGCAAACGCGG